rnacentral:rRNA from 1 species
UACGAGGGGUGCAAGCGUUGCUCGGAAUUAUUGGGCGUAAAGGGUAGGUAGGUGGUCUCAUUUGUCAGGGGUGAAAGCCUUGGGCUUAACUCAAGAAGUGCCCCUGAAACGGUGAGACUGGAGUCCUGGAGAGGGUCGUGGAAUUCCCGGUGUAGCGGUGAAAUGCGUAGAGAUCGGGAGGAACACCAGAGGCGAAGGCGGCGACCUGGACAGGUACUGACACUCAACUACGAAAGCGUGGGAGCGAACAGG